rnacentral:rRNA from 1 species
CCUACGGGAGGCAGCAGUGGGGGAUAUUGCACAAUGGGGGGAACCCUGAUGCAGCGACGCCGCGUGGGUGAAGGAGUGUUUCGGUAUGUAAAGCUCUAUCGGCAGGGAAGAAGAUGACGGUACCUGACUAAGAAGCCCCGGCUAACUACGUGCCAGCAGCCGCGGUAAUACGUAGGGGGCAAGCGUUAUCCGGAUUUACUGGGUGUAAAGGGGGCGUAGACGGUGCAGCAAGUCAGAUGUGAAAGGUCGGGGCCCAACCCCGGGACUGCAUUGGAAACUGUUUGACUGGAGUACAGGAGAGGCAGGCGGAAUUCCUAGUGUAGCGGUGAAAUGCGUAGAUAUUAGGAGGAACACCAGUGGCGAAGGCGGCCUACUGGACUGUAACUGACGUUGAGGCCCGAAAGCGUGGGGAGCAAACAGGAUUAGAUACCCCGGUAGUC